UAGAUCUGACCAUCGGACUGGUGCUCUG
rnacentral:sRNA from 1 species